rnacentral:rRNA from 1 species
CGGGAGUGGGUGGAGGUAAACACGUGGGGAACCUGCCCCAUAGUCUGGGAUACCACUUGGAAACAGGUGCUAAUACCGGAUAAUAAAGCAGAUCGCAUGAUCAGCUUAUAAAAGGCGGCGUAAGCUGUCGCUAUGGGAUGGCCCCGCGGUGCAUUAGCUAGUUGGUAAGGUAACGGCUUACCAAGGCAAUGAUGCAUAGCCGAGUUGAGAGACUGAACGGCCACAUUGGGACUGAGACACGGCCCAAACUCC